rnacentral:rRNA from 1 species
GAUGAACGCUGGCGGCGUGCCUAAUACAUGCAAGUCGAGCGAACGGACGAGAAGCUUGCUUCUCUGAUGUUAGCGGCGGACGGGUGAGUAACACGUGGAUAACCUACCUAUAAGACUGGGAUAACUUCGGGAAACCGGAGCUAAUACCGGAUAAUAUUUUGAACCGCAUGGUUCAAAAGUGAAAGACGGUCUUGCUGUCACUUAUAGAUGGAUCCGCGCUGCAUUAGCUAGUUGGUAAGGUAACGGCUUACCAAGGCAACGAUGCAUAGCCGACCUGAGAGGGCGAUCGGCCACACUGGAACUGAGACACGGUCCAGACUCCUACGGGAGGCAGCAGUAGGGAAUCUUCCGCAAUGGGCGAAAGCCUGACGGAGCAACGCCGCGUGAGUGAUGAAGGUCUUCGGAUCGUAAAACUCUGUUAUUAGGGAAGAACAUAUGUGUAAGUAACUGUGCACAUCUUGACGGUACCUAAUCAGAAAGCCACGGCUAACUACGU